GCGAUGUUCAGGAGAACGGACCUCUCGGUGAGGUUGAAACUUGUUUUGAGGGUCGCUGUAUUGGAUAAUGCCCAGAAAUGCACAGGUUCUCAAAUAUUGGUUGAAUUUUUGAGGAAUUAAGCAAAUACAGGUGAAGUGUGAGUGCCUGGCAAAGAACUAACACUCGGCAAACAUGCCCCUCGGUCGUUACCACUGCCCUCAUUCCUACUCUGUAUGACAUUGACGGGUGGGUGGAGAGUGGCCACCUUUGGGAAAGACCUGGAUUUAAAUCUCUACUUUCUCAUUUACUAACGCCUGGGACUUAGGCCAAAUUGCUUUAUCAGUUUGGGUUCCACAAAGAACUAUGUGCAAUUUCCCACGUUGCUGCAGCCUAGUGUAAAACACAGCCGCAGCCAGACGAGAAUUCCAUUCACUGAAACCGCUAACUGAGCAUAGAGGGAACUCAACCGGGGUUGACAGCUCCCACCAGGGGCCGGCAGUUUCGCCAGCGCUAGUCGGUCCAACCAGCCACGUCUGGUGCAGGUCAGCAAAGGAAAAAAAAAACAAAAAAACAGCCAGAACACGGCUUUGACCCUCCCACUAACGGUCCCUCCUCCUCUGGCCCCAGGCGGUCGCAGGACUCUGGUUUCCGGCCUUCAGAGGACUACAAUUUCCAGUAUGCCCUUGGUGGGAAGUCUUUCUCGAUGGAUGACUACCGAUCCCGGCAUGACAUUCGGCUCACUAAUAACUCCGAGGACAGUGUGGGAUGACCCCGUUGUACGCCGGGAAUUGUAGUUUAGUAGCCGUGGGCUCGCAGAUGGGCGGGGAACAGCCCGCCAGUUCUUGUCCGCUAAGGGGAAUGAUUCAUAGAGUGUCAGGAGGGACAGUUCUGCUUGUGAAAGGCCAACACGAAGCUGAACUCUUCUCCAAGGCUGGUAGACCGAUGAGAGUUGGCAGGGGCUGGGCCUGACCCGGUCCCUGGCGGCUCGUCAGGCCUCCGCCGAGCCCUGGGCCUUGCAGGGGGAGGCCUCGAGGCGCCGGUUGCUGGGGGAGCGGUGACGUCUCGGGGUGAAAGUUGAGGGGCGGUGACGUACGGCCUGCCCGGGCGGAGGCUGGCGGGUUGGAGACUGGAGGGAGGGAGGGAAGGAGGGAAGGAAGGAAGCUGGGAAGGAGCGAGGUAGCGGGGGCGCGAGGCGUUUACCUGGGAGGCAGCGGCUGGGGCGCGCACAGCGGCCGCGGCUCCCCCGCACCUGCGGCCAUGGAUGAAGAGCGCGCCCUCUACAUCGUCCGGGCCGGCGAGGCGGGGGCUAUCGAGCGGGUCCUGAGGGAUUACAGCGACAAGCAUAGGGCUACUUUCAAAUUUGAAUCAACAGAUGAAGAUAAAAGAAAGAAACUCUGUGAAGGUAUAUUUAAAGUCCUUGUAAAGGAUGUCCCAACAACAUGUCAAGUGUCCUGCCUGGAAGUACUCCGCAUUCUCUCCAGAGACAAAAAGAUUUUAGUUCCUGUAACAACUAAGGAAAAUAUGCAAAUACUGCUGAGACUAGCCAAGCUGCAUGAGUCGGAUGAUUCUUUGGAGAAGGUGUCAGAGUUCCCGGUUAUUGUAGAAUCGUUAAAGUGUCUGUGUAACAUCGUGUUCAACAGUCAGAUGGCCCAGCAGCUCAGCCUGGAACUGAAUCUUGCUGCAAAGCUCUGUAACCUCCUGAGAAAGUGCAAGGACCGAAAAUGUAUCAAUGACAUAAAGUGCUUUGACUUGCGCUUGCUCUUCCUCUUGUCACUUUUGCACACUGACAUCAGGUCACAAUUGCGCUAUGAGCUCCAGGGACUCCCGCUGCUAACCCAGAUCUUGGAAAGUGCCUUUAGCAUCAAGUGGACCGAUGAGUAUGAAUCGGCCAUAGACCAUAAUGGACCUCCUCUCUCACCUCAGGAGACAGACUGUGCCAUUGAGGCCCUCAAAGCUCUCUUCAAUGUGACGGUAGACAGUUGGAAGGUGCAUAAAGAGGGCGAUUCUCAUCAGUUCCGUGUCAUGGCAGCUGUCCUUCGCCAUUGUUUACUAAUCGUAGGUCCAACUGAAGACAAAACAGAAGAGCUGCACAGCAAUGCCGUCAACCUUUUAAGCAAUGUUCCAGUCUCUUGUUUGGAUGUUCUCAUUUGUCCAUUAACCCAUGAAGAAACAGCUCAAGAGGCAGCGACUCUAGAUGAACUGCCCAGUGAUAAAACAGCCGAGAAAGACACCGCUCUGAAAAACAAUACCCUAGUAUACAAUGGCAUGAAUAUGGAGGCCAUUUAUGUUUUACUCAAUUUUAUGGAGAAGAGAAUUGACAAGGGAAGCAGCUAUAGAGAGGGUCUAACUCCAGUUCUCAGCUUAUUAACAGAGUGUUCUCGAGCCCAUCGGAAUAUCCGAAAAUUUCUCAAAGAUCAGGUUUUACCGCCAUUGAGGGACGUGACAAACCGACCUGAAGUUGGCUCAACUGUGAGGAAUAAGCUGGUGCGCCUCAUGACACACGUUGACCUUGGAGUCAAGCAGAUUGCUGCGGAGUUCCUUUUUGUCCUUUGCAAAGAGAGAGUGGACAGCCUGCUGAAGUACACUGGCUAUGGGAACGCCGCAGGACUGCUGGCGGCCAGGGGCCUCUUGGCUGGAGGAAGAGGAGACAAUUGGUACUCGGAGGACGAGGACACGGACACUGAAGAAUACAAAAAUGCAAAACCAAACAUUAAUCUUAUCACUGGUCAUUUAGAGGAACCAAUGCCAAACCCUAUAGAUGACAUGACAGAAGAACAAAAAGAAUAUGAAGCCAUGAAACUUGUCAACAUGCUUGAUAAACUCUCCAGACCCUGUCAUUAAUUCCAUGUGUCAAUACUGCCCUGUAGUACACAGAGCAGACAAGAAAGAAGAGCCCUUGAAAACAAGGGAAUGAUUUUUGAGUCGUUAUCAAGCUAAGUGGCAAGCGGGAAGCUGAGACUCGUAUAGUUGAACAUUCUUGGAGGCUUAUCUCUUCCCUGGCCAGAUGCCUGAUCAGAUGAGAAGCCCGCCAUGAUACUGUCACAGUGCCUAGAAUGGGCUCUUUAUCCAGUAGACAUCACUGUACUUUUUGGUGAUAACGGGGGCAGUCUUAACUGUGUUAAGGCCUGUGUAUAGCAUUGAAGAGAGGAGUUGCUUAAGCCAAUGGGACUAAAACCUGAUGGGACAAUAACUCCCUUGGAGGAAGCACUCAGCCAGUACUCUGUCAUCGAAGAGACCAGCUCCGACACGGACUGAGCGCCGUCACCUGCCCCGCUCUCAAUAUGGCUUUCAUCAGCAUCUUUUCUCUGUAGCUCCAGGGGAAUCUUUUCUCUAAAACAUUUAUGCCCUUGCUUUGGCUAGAAACACAUUAGCUGGUUUACUCGUUGGGUACCCAGCGUAUGUAAGAGGUGGUCCUGUGUUCUCUGCGACAGUGAGGCAUCCACGUAGAACUGGAGUUAGGCAGAGGUGCGGGCUGGGAGCAGAAGCAGUCAUUCCAUUUCAUCAGGACGCAGUGCGGGACUUCACUCUGCCCAGCAGCCCCGGGCCAGUCUGGCAGUCUUGUCGCCAGGAUUCCUAGCCGAAGAUUCAGCCAUGUCCUCCACCGGCUCGGCUCGUGCAAACCACCCCUCUUAGGUUGUCUCUCCAGCAACCCAGGCACACGAGAGGCCGAGGAGCUGGUAACUAAGGGCUGAGGCAGGUGACUCCUUAGAUCAGCACUGACUGAGUUGGAAGCCAGGCAGCUGCCCUGUACACCUAGUCCACCCUUCAUUUCAGUUUUAUAUAAAUGUGGAAACACACACACAGAGCCCCAGACUUACAAACCUGUUACACUCUUGAAAGUUUGUAUGUCACUUAGCGAAAACUUCAGACUACAGCUCUCCCUGUGAGGAGUUAGAAAUGAUGGUUUAGUUCCAGGCAGCUACAUGUGCCUAUUUAUUCCUCAUGUUCCUGAACACUACACGUACCGUAGGGCUGGACCACCAUCCGUACCGCUGCAUCCAGAGCGUGCAUUCUGAGGUCUCACUCAGGGUGCCAAGUAUACACUCAUCCUCCAGGCAACAGAGAGGAUGGGGCUCCCCGAGUAGUGGGAGUUCUUUCGUGGCCUGUGCUGGGGGUAGGGAGCCAACAGCACCCAUUUGUACAUAAAGGUCAUUCGUAUGUCACAUGUUUUAAACAAGGGUCUCUGUGUGUAUUUGUGUGUGUGUUCUUUCUACCAUAUGUGAUCAGUUUAAUGGUAACUUUAUUUAUUUAAAAAAAAGAAACACAAAUAGUUACUAUUAAACUGAUUAAGGCUGUUUAUUUUUACUCUUAGAAAUGGUCAUAUGAAGUAGACGUGCAAUCAUGUAGGCAGGCCAAGUUGAUCAGUGGCUAAAGUUAAAAGGGGGUUGGUUUCCUUUCAUAUAUGUGUGUAUGUGUACCUACACAUACACACAUAUAUGCACACACAUAGAUUAUGUGCUUAACCACUGCCUUUUAAAACUUUAAAUUAAAUAAAACAUUGGGGAUGACUCAAUUUA